rnacentral:tRNA from 1 species
GUUUUCGUAGCUCAGUUGGUUAGAGCAUCGUGCUAAUAAUGAGAAUGUUGAGAGUUCAAUCCCUUCGGAAGCC